UACGAAGGGUGCUAGCGUUAUUCGGAAUAAUUGGGCGUAAAGGGUGCGUAGACGGCGUAUUAAGUCAACUGUUAAAUUCUCCGGCCUAACUGGGGGUCAGCGGUAGAAACUGAUAUGCUAGAGGAUGAAAGAGAGAAGUGGAAUUCUCGGAGUAGCGGUAAAAUGCGUAGAUCUCGAGAGGAACACCGAUGGCGAAGGCAGCUUCUUGGUUCAUUCCUGACGUUGAGGCACGAAAGCGUGGGAAGCAAACAGG
rnacentral:rRNA from 1 species